GCUGUUGCCCCUCUUCACAGCCUCCCCCUCGAUGUAAAUGGGUGUUUGUGCUGCUGUCUGUUUCCUGUAGUCACUCAGAGGUUGUUGUUCUGUCCCCCUGUAGACUGCCUCAUUGUUGUUUAUGAUAAAGUGGGCAAACUUUGUGAUGCUGUUUGUGCUGGACCAACCCACACAGUCGUGUGUGAACAAGGAGAACUGCAAGAGGCUCAACAACACGUAUUGAGAGUCACAGAGGAGGAGGUGUUCUUGCUUGUCUGCACAUCUAGAGGUCUGACAGCGAAGCGGUCCUGAACCCACCUGCAUAGAGAGGGGCCUAAGUCCUGAAUCCAGAAGCUUGUGUUUGGGUGUCAGGAAACGCAGCAGCAGGCUGAAGUAGAGCAGGAUGAAACAGCUGCAUCUUCAGGGUUUCAGGGUCACGGGGAACCUGGAGCCGAUCUCAGGGAGCAUGGGACACAAGAUGGGGUACACCCUGGACGAGCUGCCAAUCCAUCGCAGGGCACAAUCACACACACAUUAAUACAGUACGGACACUUUGGACACGCCAAUCAACCUACAAUGCAUGUCUUUUGGACUGGGGGAGGAAACCGGAGUACCCGGAGGAAAGAGCACGGGGAGAACAUGCAAACUCUGUGCACACAGGGCAGUGGUGGGAAUCGAACCCCGACCCUGGAGGUGUGAGGCGAACGUGCUAACCACCGAUCCUCUGUGUGCCCCAUAGAGUUAAUGAUGCAGCUGUGGUUGAUCUUUAUCUCUUCACUGAAGAUAGAACAGGGCGAGUUGCAGACCCUGAUCAGGAGGCCGAGCAGACAGCUGAUAAAAGUCCCCGUUAAAUCAGGACAGAAUAAAGAGACGGGAGAAACAUGUCUGCGCUUCACAACAAUCCCAGCAGUUCUUUAUUAAAUACAG
ensembl:lncRNA